UUUCACAUACAACUAAAACUCUCCGCGUUCGUCUUGAUCGCGGUCAAUGUAGAUCUUAGCUUGAAUCAAGUCUGAACCUUGCUAUAAAAUCUGCACCAUCGCUGGGGUCACUAUCAGUUGAGUGUGGUUAAUCGAUCCAAACACAUAGUGCCUCGCGUUUUUUGUGUGACCAACGUCGAAACAAUCCCAUCGCUCAAAAUGAAACUUCUGUUUGUGACUCUCUGCAUUGUGGUUCUGGCUUUCGCCCUGGUCGCUGCCGUUCCAGCCGUUAACGAUGAGAGCAUCUUCGGUACAGAUGGAACCGCUGACGACACCGUGAACCCACAGGACCCACAGGCUAUUCUGUUGAAGAAGCUGUUGUUGAAGAAAAAAUUGCUGCUCUUCGGUUGAGCUACUGACGAGUCACAGUUGGAACUGAUGAGCAGUAUUCUGCCCGGUGCAGAAUCUCCCGCCAGGUCUUCAUCUUCUAGGGAUAGUGAGUGAUAUAAGAAUUUCAAACAUUCAACCAAAUUCCUUUUUAAUGUCAAAUGUGUUUUUAUGUACCUUGAAUGUAUGCUUGAUGGCGUGUGCAAUAGACUAUUUUUGUCCACCUUUAAUACUUAUACUGCCUGUGCAAUAACUUGGAUGUAUGAAUAAACGAUAGAAAUAUACACUUUUUUACAA